UACGUAGGUGGCAAGCGUUGUUCGGAAUCACUGGGCAUAAAGAGCACGUAGGCGGCUGGGUCAGUCGGGUGUGAAAUACCUCAGCUCAACUGAGGAACGGCGCCCGAUACUGCCUGGCUUGAGGACCGGAGGGGAGAGUGGAAUUCCCGGUGGAGCGGUGAAAUGCGUAGAGAUCGGGAAGAACGCCGGCGGCGAAAGCGACUCUCUGGUCGGUCCCUGACGCUGAGGUGCGAAAGCUAGGGGAGCAAACGGG
rnacentral:rRNA from 1 species